GCGAAGUCGGCGGGGCCACGGCGCUCGGCGGGUGCGCUGGGCAGGGCCACCCCACCGCCCGGGGACUGCAGCUGCGAGAGGCCACCCAUGAAUCCUGUGACACACUGUGUUUACAAGUCCUUCCUUUCCACCACAUGCAAGACAGUGUCCUCCUGCCCAGGCAGAGCAGGCCUGUGCUGUGGGAGCAGCGGGGGCUGUUGGGUGCAGUUUUAGAUGCUGCUGUAUCACAGGAACUCACCCAGCGUGGACCAGACUGACCUUUCCGGGAGAGCCUCCUCAUGGGGCCACAUGUCUGGGCAUCCCCCACUUGUCACUGCCAUCUAAUGCCUGCUGAACAUUGCUGGGAUGUGCCCACCACCAGCCCUUGGGUCUUCGCUCCUGGUGCUCCCUGCACGAGGGUCCCAACCUUCUGGUCUCUGCUGAAGAGGAUCUGCAGGUCCUGCGAGCGAGAGGAACACCUGGGGAUAUGGUGCCCAGAACACAAAGCCACCAGACAAAUAAAGAUACUCCUGUACUUAUUAUUCACCAUGUUACUACCAGAUUUUACAGAAUGACUCACUUCUGAGCCGCUGGCAAACCUUGGCUCCCAGUCCCGAUUUGUCCAGUAUUUUAACAAGUGCCUCUGCCCAUGGGAAUGGUGCAGAGCUGUCCCAAAAGCAGGAGCACCUGCGCCAGCAGCACAGCAGGGCUGAGCCCCCAGCACGCAGGGAGCAGAGGGGAUGCAGUGCUGUGGGGAGCUGCCCCAACACCCCAGCCAGAGGUCCCAGCUCCACCUGGGCCUUCACACGGGGCUGGGGUUCAUCCACUCCCCACAAGGAAUCAUUUUGCUUUUCCAGCAGGAUUUUCUGGGGUGCCCCAGUGAUGGGCACAGGCAGCACCCCUGGCUGCCCCCUCCCCUGCACCCCUGGCAGCCACAGCAAACCCCUCCACAGGCACAAGGGGUUAAACAUCUCCCUCCAUCCAUAUCCAUCCUGCUCCUGGAUCACCAGCCCCUCCACACCAGUACAAAAGGCCUGAUUUGAUCCGGUUGCAGACGACUCACAUUGUACUCCAGACUUCUAGCAAUGUCGGGCUAUCAGGUUUCCAACUAAUAUCCAAGGCACAGCCCGAGCAUAAAGCAGGAACAAAGACAUCUUUGUUACUGAAAAAAAAAAAAUCCCCCGAAGAUAUUAGCAGUGCAGUAGAGUUCAAACUGUUAAAUGAUUCAAAUAUUAUUUAAUGAAUGCAUUUGAAACAAGGUCUCACAACCCAGAACACUUUUUAGAUCAUCAUUUACAAAGAACCCGCCUCUUCGCUUACUUCUUUAUGAAGUCGUUGCUUUCAGGUUUUAAUUAAAGCCAUUUUGCUGGCAGGCUUUUCCAGGGACUUCACUUGUUGGCAUAGCUCAGCUCCUCUUAUGAUACAUUUUAGCUGGUGACUACUGGAACUUCCAGAAGUCCUUAUAAUCACAGUCCCUUAAUUUACCAUGGCCUGCAUUUCUGUGGCUGUAAGAAAGGAGGGAGGCAGAGACCCCUCUGCAAAAGAAGCAACAGCAUCUGGUACUGGUCCAGAGGAUGCCAAAAACAAGUUUGUAAAAUGAUGGAAUUUGUUAAGUUAAAUUAUAUCUGGCAUUGGAGAAACACUGCAAGGUUCAAGUUCAAAAAUACCUUGAAUUUCUUGUUUAAGUCUUGGAUAUGCAAUUCUAAAAGAGAAAGUUAUAUAAGCCACGUGGCAGAUGGGGUUCUGGGAAGAAACAUGUCUCCAACCUGAGGAAAUAAAGUUUUAAAAUCAAA